AGAGUUUGAUCCUGGCUCAGGACGAACGCUGGCGGCGUGCCUAACACAUGCAAGUCGAGCGGAGACAGUGAGUAGCUUGCUAUGAGCUGUCUUAGCGGCGGACGGGUGAGUAACGCGUGAGCAACCUUUCCCAGACAGGGGAAUAACACACCGAAAGGUGUACUAAUACCGCAUAAGACCACGGGAUCACAUGGUUCUGGGGUAAAAGAUUUAUCGGUUUGGGGUGGGCUCGCGUCCGAUUAGGUAGUUGGUGAGGUAACGGCCCACCAAGCCGACGAUCGGUAGCCGACCUGAGAGGGUGAUCGGCCACAUUGGGACUGAGACACGGCCCAAACUCCUACGGGAGGCAGCAGUGGGAAUAUUGGGCAAUGGAGGAAACUCUGACCCAGCAACGCCGCGUGGAGGAAGAAGGUUUUCGGAUCGUAAACUCCUGUCCUUGGAGACGAGUAGAAGACGGUAUCCAAGGAGGAAGCCCCGGCUAACUACGUGCCAGCAGCCGCGGUAAUACGUAGGGGGCAAGCGUUGUCCGGAAUAAUUGGGCGUAAAGGGCGCGUAGGCGGCUCGGUAAGUCUGGAGUGAAAGUCCUGCUUUUAAGGUGGGAAUUGCUUUGGAUACUGUCGGGCUUGAGUGCAGGAGAGGUUAGUGGAAUUCCCAGUGUAGCGGUGAAAUGCGUAGAGAUUGGGAGGAACACCAGUGGCGAAGGCGACUAACUGGACUGUAACUGACGCUGAGGCGCGAAAGUGUGGGGAGCAAACAGGAUUAGAUACCCUGGUAGUCCACACUGUAAACGAUGAAUGCUAGGUGUAGGGGGUAUCGACCCCUUCUGUGCCGCAGUCAACACAAUAAGCAUUCCGCCUGGGGAGUACGGCCGCAAGGUUGAAACUCAAAGGAAUUGACGGGGGCCCGCACAAGCAGCGGAGCAUGUGGUUUAAUUCGACGCAACGCGAAGAACCUUACCAGGUCUUGACAUCCACUUAAACUUACAGAGAUGUAAGGUGUGCUUGCACAAAGUGAGACAGGUGGUGCAUGGUUGUCGUCAGCUCGUGUCGUGAGAUGUUGGGUUAAGUCCCGCAACGAGCGCAACCCUUAUCUUCAGUUACUAACGCGUGAGGGUGAGGACUCUGAAGAGACUGCCGGGGACAACUCGGAGGAAGGUGGGGACGACGUCAAAUCAUCAUGCCCCUUAUGACCUGGGCUACACACGUGCUACAAUGGCCACGACAGAGAGAAGCGAAAUCGCAAGGUAGAGCGGAACUCAAAAAAGUGGUCCCAGUUCGGAUUGUGGGCUGCAACCCGCCCACAUGAAGUCGGAGUUGCUAGUAAUCGCGGAUCAGCAUGCCGCGGUGAAUACGUUCCCGGGCCUUGUACACACCGCCCGUCACACCAUGGGAGUUGGGAGUGCCCAAAGCCGGUGAGGCAACCGCAAGGAGCCAGCCGUCUAAGGCAAGACCAAUGACUGGGGUGAAGUCGAAACAAGGUA
rnacentral:rRNA from 1 species